ACGAGACGUACAGCUGCAACGAAAAAAAAAGAAGAAACAUUAGCGCGAGUGACCGACGACCGAGAGCGGCACAAUCACGACACGCGGCGCUACUGUUCCCGCGCCCGCCGAUAACGAGAGUGCCCGGCGCGAUCCAUGUUUCAAAGUGGGGGUGGCCGGUAUGUGACGCCCAAGAUAGCGUUUGAAAUGCGCGACCUUAGGAUGAGCUGCCUUCUACCGGCCACUCCCGCUUUGAAACAUGGAUCGCGUCGGCCACUCUCGUUGUCGGCGUGAUCGGGAACAAGGGCGCCGCGUGGCGGAGAUCACAGCUUCUGUCAUCGAUCAAGUUCUCCCCCCUCCAUACCCCCGGGGGGCGUGGUCUGCGCUUGGACAGAAGAAUGGCUGCGCAGGAGCUUCCAUCAACGUUCCGAAAGGAAGUUCCGCGCGAACCGAAUCGCGACUUCCCGUGUAGCCGGGGUCUCGAAUCUCACCCCCGCGGAGGACAAGUCGAACCCGCGAUAUAUCCUCGCAUUGUGUAUACGAUAAAGAAAGCGUCAAAUCAGCAGUGUCGAUACGCGGCGCCAUCCUUCUUCGGCGGUCCUCAUCAGGACGUCAAUAAAUCUCGGACCCGGCGCUCUAA